rnacentral:sRNA from 12 species
GUGCGCCUGCGGAAGGUCAAGCGUCGCCCGCAAAACACGGCUUUGCAGGCAGCCGGACGGCGUACGGCCCCGUAUCAUAAGCAACUGCUUAUUUCAAAGCAUUUUC